AUGCAGGGCUGGGGGCAGAGCUGCUCAGCGCAGCCCAUCUUGAACGCGGGAGCAAAGAACACCAGAACAGGGUGACCACCUCUACAUUUUCUGCAUGUCGUUGAAAAGCAGGGAUUGAAAACCCUUGGCUCUCCAGAUGUUGCUGACCUACCACUCUCACCAUCUCUAAUGGAGUCCAGCAGCACCUGGAAGGCCAAAGGUACCCUCAUCCCUGUUUUGAAGCUAUGAAGAAAUAGCUAGGUGCCUUGUGGGACUGACUACCACCAGAUGGCGGUGCAGACAAAAUGCUGGAACUGAAUUUAAGACAGGUAAAAUGAAAAACAGAGAGAACCAAAAUCAUUCCACCCCUAGCAGCCACUAGGAUGUGUUACGGGUGUCUUUAAGUUCUGCCUCCUGCCACAGGCAGGAAAAACAAAUGAAACAAAAGCCUCACAGCAGUUUUUCAAAACUACUCUAAGAUGAAUUUGAGCACAAAUAUGGAAGCAAAAGCUGAAAUGGAAUGGGAUUUCACCAAUUAAAGGGAACAUGUUUUUUUACCUG